rnacentral:rRNA from 1 species
UUGAAUUGAAGAGUUUGAUCAUGGCUCAGAUUGAACGCUGGCGGCAGGCUUAACACAUGCAAGUCGAGCGGU